GAACUAUAGAGUUUGAUCCUGGCUCAGAUUGAACGCUGGCGGCAUGCCUUACACAUGCAAGUCGAACGGCAGCACGGGAGCAAUCCUGGUGGCGAGUGGCGAACGGGUGAGUAAUAUAUCGGAACGUGCCCAGUCGUGGGGGAUAACGCAGCGAAAGCUGUGCUAAUACCGCAUACGAUCUACGGAUGAAAGCGGGGGAUCGCAAGACCUCGCGCGAUUGGAGCGGCCGAUAUCAGAUUAGCUAGUUGGUGGGGUAAAAGCUCACCAAGGCGACGAUCUGUAGCUGGUCUGAGAGGACGACCAGCCACACUGGAACUGAGACACGGUCCAGACUCCUACGGGAGGCAGCAGUGGGGAAUUUUGGACAAUGGGCGCAAGCCUGAUCCAGCAAUGCCGCGUGCAGGAUGAAGGCCUUCGGGUUGUAAACUGCUUUUGUACGGAGCGAAACGGCUCUCUCUAAUACAGGGGGCUAAUGACGGUACCGUAAGAAUAAGCACCGGCUAACUACGUGCCAGCAGCCGCGGUAAUACGUAGGGUGCAAGCGUUAAUCGGAAUUACUGGGCGUAAAGCGUGCGCAGGCGGUUAUAUAAGAC
rnacentral:rRNA from 1 species